GCAGGCUUGGAUUGCAAACUUUUAAAAGAAUGUUGUUCAAGCAGAUGCGAAAUAGAAGUAUUCAGUCAGACAUUUAGAGUUGUGUAGGAAGCAUGUAGCUCACGAUUUGUCUGUCACUUUUUAAAGAUUUGGUGCAGUGCUCAUGAAUAUGUAGAACCUAAUGUGGUACUUGAGAGAGGACUCGAAAGCUUUCUUGAUAAAGAGAGUUCAUAGAAGAGUUAUUGGCCAAAACAAAAUUGUCAUAGCUAUUAUCCUGGCGAUCCUACGUCCAUGUGUUGAGCUCGAGAACCCAAACCGCCAAAUCCAAUGUUAUGAAUUUCUUAAAAGUAUUCUAUGUACUUUAUCUUUUGUGUAGUAUUUCUUUUCAUUCUACUUAAUUCUACAUAUAAAAUCACUUGGUUGUAUUCGCUGAGAACAUAUUUG